UCUACUUUCUUUAGAAAAGUGAGAGAGAGCUCUCUCUCAACUCUCUCAUCGGGGAAGGGAGAGUUGGCAACCGCCAGCGACCAUCACGACGGCGGACGGUGGCCGGAGAGAGAGAAAGCCACCAAAAGCUUUCUCCCUUCGCCCCUAACUCGAUUCCUAACACAUUAUACUCUAAAAACAUCCUUAGGAACCCAGAUCUAAGCCCUUCACCUCUCGAAGACUUUGUAAACUAGUGGCUUUUGGGCUUCCCCACUGGCUGCGAACUAAGUGUGACUUUCUGUCACUGUUGAUGAGGGUGGCGGCUCUGAGACGGUCGGAGGUGGCAGCAGCAGCAUUCAGGUGGUGACAGUCUACAAAGGUUAGGGUUUUACCCUAACCGUUGGAUGGGUCCAGAUCAGACGGUCCCCUGAUGGUACGGUGCUGGGGCAGAGAAGGGAAACCCUACCGGGUCUAGGUCUAUAACUGGGUCGGUUCGGGUCGAUCGGUUUCAUAUUAGGCAGCUUAGGGAUUGGGCCUACAACAAAAUAUGUAAAAUGUAAAAUGUAAAUUAAAAUAAUAAUAAUAAUAAUAUAAUUAAUAAUAUUUUUU